rnacentral:lncRNA from 1 species
UUGGAAUUUAAGUAAGAUCUUUUAUUAUAAAUAGUGGUCGUAUUCAGGGUUUUGCUUUCAGACUUAGAUAUCAUUUUGUUCAAAAUCCUGGUUUCACCAGAGAGCUAGAAGCUUGGAUUGUAAGCUUCCUGUUAUUCAAUCAAUUCGAUCUUUGAUUUUUCUAUUUCUCUUUUUUCUUUUCCCCAUACCAUCUGGUAUUAGAGCAGACCCGUUCCCAAAGCGCAUGAGCAUUUGCUGCAAGUUUGCUCGAUGGCGGUUAGCGAGGUCAAGUUCAUGGAUGUGGUGGUGACAAAGUUAUCUGUGAGGGAAUAAAAUGAUCUGAUGAGAAUUGAGCAAGUGGUGUACGAGGGAUGUAAAAAAGGUCAAAUCAAAGGAGAUUUGAGGAUCUGGUGGAUGAGGUGAAGCCAACCCGCUCU